GCAGUCGAACGAGACGGAACUAGYUURCUAGUUUGUCAGCUAAGUGGCGCACGGGUGAGUAAUAUAUAGUUAAUCUGCCCCAAAGAAGAGAAUAAUUGUUGGAAACGACUUGUAAUGCUCUAUAUGCCUUUAUYACAUAAGURAGCAAGGGAAAUAUUUAUAGCUUUGGGAUGAGACUGUACGGUAUCAGUUUGUUGGUGAGGUAAUGGCUCACCAAGACUAUGACGCCUAACUGGUUUGAGAGGAUGAUCAGUCACACUGGAACUGAGACACGGUCCAGACUCCUACGGGAGGCAGCAGUGGGGAAUAUUGCACAAUGGASGAAASUCUGAUGCAGCAACGCCGCGUGGAGGAUGACACAUUUCGGUGCGUAAACUCCUUUUAUAUGAGAAGAUAAUGACGGUAUCAUAUGAAUAAGCACCGGCUAACUUCGUGCCAGCAGCCGCGGUAAUACGAGGGGUGCAAGCGUUACUCGGAAUCACUGGGCGUAAAGAGCAUGUAGGCGGGUAGUUAAGUUGGAAGUGAAAUCCUAUGGCUCAACCAUAGAACUGCUUCCAAAACUGAUUAUCUAGAGUAUGGGAGAGGUAGAUGGAAUUUCUGGUGUAGGGGUAAAAUCCGUAGAGAUCAGAMGGAAUACCGAUUGCGAAGGCGAUCUACUGGAACAUUACUGACGCUAAKAUGCGAAAGCGUGGGGAGCAAACAGGAUUAGAUACCCUGGUAGUCCACGCCCUAAACGAUGCACACUAGUU
rnacentral:rRNA from 1 species